rnacentral:ncRNA from 1 species
GUAGCAAACAUUCAAAUGAGAAUUUUGAUUGGCCAAAGUGGAGAACGGUUCCACGUGAACAGCAGUUGAACGUGGGUCAGUCGUUCCUAAGAGACGGGGUAAACACCGUUUGGGAGGGGCGAUGGCCUCCGUCGCACCCGGCCGAUCGAAAGGGAGUCGGGUUCAGAUCCCCGGAUCCGGGGAUAACGCUACCGAUCCCGGAGAGAAGCUGGCGGGAGACCCGGGGAGAGUUCUCUUUUCUUUAUGAAGGGAUCUAUAGUCUUGACAGUCUCUAUAGAGUCUACAGUAUCUAUAUUCUCUAUAGUCUCUCAGUCUCUAUAGUCAGAAAUGCUAUAGUCUCUAUAGACUCUAUAGCCUUGCCGCUUCCUAUAGAUAUAGAGCUUCGCCUCGUGCACCUUAUGCUAUUA